rnacentral:rRNA from 1 species
UACAGGGGGCUCGAGCGUUAGUCGGAAUCACUGGGCUUAAAGGGUGCGUAGGCGGCUUGUCAAGUGUUUUGUGAAAUCCCACAGCUCAACUGUGGAACAGCAGGGCAAACUGACAAGCUUGAGGCAGGUAGGGGCCGGAAGAACAGUAGGUGGAGCGGUGAAAUGCGUAGAUAUCUACUGGAAUGCCGAUGGGGAAGCCGUCCGGCUGGGCCUGUCCUGACGCUGAGGCACGAAAGCGUGGGGAGCAAACAGG